rnacentral:rRNA from 1 species
GACGAACGUUGGCGGCGUGCUUAACACAUGCAAGUCGAACGGAAAGGCCCUACUUUUGUGGGGUGCUCGAGUGGCGAACGGGUGAGUAACACGUGAGUAACCUGCCCUUGACUUUGGGAUAACUUCAGGAAACUGGGGCUAAUACCGGAUAGGAGCUCCUGCUGCAUGGUGGGGGUUGGAAAGUUUCGGCGGUUGGGGAUGGACUCGCGGCUUAUCAGCUUGUUGGUGGGGUAGUGGCUUACCAAGGCUUUGACGGGUAGCCGGCCUGAGAGGGUGACCGGCCACAUUGGGACUGAGAUACGGCCCAGACUCCUACGGGAGGCAGCAGUGGGGAAUAUUGCACAAUGGGCGGAAGCCUGAUGCAGCAACGCCGCGUGCGGGAUGACGGCCUUCGGGUUGUAAACCGCUUUCGCCUGUGACGAAGCGUGAGUGACGGUAAUGGGUAAAGAAGCACCGGCUAACUACGUG